rnacentral:rRNA from 1 species
UACGAAGGGGGCUAGCGUCGCUCGGAAUCACUGGGCGUAAAUGGUGCGUAGGCGGGUCUUUAAGUCAGGGGUGAAAUCCUGGAGCUCAACUCCAGAACUGCCUUUGAUACUGAAGAUCUUGAGUUCGGGAGAGGUGAGUGGAACUGCGAGUGUAGAGGUGAAAUUCGUAGAUAUUCGCAAGAACACCAGUGGCGAAGGCGGCUCACUGGCCCGAUACUGACGCUGAGGCACGAAAGCGUGGGGAGCAAACAGG